AUGAGUGAGCCGCUGCGCCCAGCCUAUGAACUCCUUUUUAAGGAGGGAGUCAUGGUGGCCAAGAAGGAUUCCACAUGCCUAAGCAUCCGGAGCUGGCAAACAAGAAUGUGUCCAACCUUCAUGUCAUGAAGGCCCUGCAGUCUCUCAAGUCCUGAGGCUACGUGAAGGAACAGUUUGCCUGGAGACAUUUCUACUGGUACCUUACCAAUGAGGGAAUCCAGUAUCUCCGUGAUUACCUUCAUCUGCCCUGGGAGAUUGCUCCUGCCACCCUGUGCGGCAGUCGUCCAGAGACUGGCAGGCCUCGGCCUAAAGGUCUGGAGGGUGAGCAACCUGCAAACUCACAAGAGGGGACGCCGACAGACAUACCUACAGACGGAGUGCCCGUGUCGCCUCGUGCCGGCAAGAAAGCCGAGACUGGGGCUGGGUCAGUAACCGAAUUCCAGUUUAGAGGCGGAUUUGGUCGUGGACGUGGUCAGCCACCUCAGUAAAAUUGGAGAGGAUUAUUUUGCAUUGAAUAAACUUACAGACAAAAAAAC